rnacentral:rRNA from 1 species
AUUGAACGCUGGCGGCAGGCCUAACACAUGCAAGUCGAGCGGAUGCAUCGAGCUUGCUCCUGGAUUCAGCGGCGACCGGGUGAGUACUGCCUAUGAAUCUGCCUGGUAGUGGGGGAUAACGUCCGAAUACGGGCGCUAAUACCCCAUCCGCCCUGUUGGCGACUUUGGGGGAUCUUCGGACCUCAUGCCAUCUUAUGAGCCUAGGUCGGAUUAGCUAGUUGGUGGGGUAAAUGCUUACCCAGGCUACGAUCCGUAACUGGUCUGAGAGGAUGACCCGACAGCCUGUAACAGAGACACAGUCCAGACUCCUACGGUAGGCAGCAGUGGAGAAUAUUGGGCGAUGGGGGAAUGCCUGAUCCAGCCAUGCCGCGUGUGUGAAGAAGGUCUUCGGAUUGGAAAGCGCUUUAAGUUGGGAGGAAGGGCAGCAAGUUAACACGUUGCCGUAUUGACGGUACCAACAGAAUAAGCUCCGGCUAACUUCGUG